rnacentral:rRNA from 1 species
CUUGAGGAAUCAGCAUCGGCUAACUCCGUGCCAGCAGCCGCGGUAAUACGGAGGAUGCAAGCGUUAUCCGGAAUGAUUGGGCGUAAAGGGUCCGCAGGUGGUGAUUCAAGUCUGUUGUCAAAGAAUCUGGCUUAACUAGAUAAAGGCAGUGGAAACUGAAAGACUAGAGUGCAGUAGGGGUAGAGGGAAUUCCCAGUGUAGCGGUGAAAUGCGUAGAGAUUGGGAAGAACACCGGUGGCGAAAGCGCUCUGCUGGACUGCAACUGACACUGAGGGACGAAAGCUAGGGGAGCGAAUGGGAUUAGAUACCCCCAGUAGUCCA